rnacentral:lncRNA from 1 species
CCCAAAUGAGUUUGUAUUCAAGUGCAACAAACAUAUCUAAACACAAAAGGACGGUUCAUUUCACCGAUCUACCAUUUUUACUACGAAAAAGUAGAGAUUUAACACUUUUACUCAAAACUCUCAAGAACACAAAGUUAUUGAGUUUAAUCAUUCAUAAACUUCGUUUUUAACCAUUAAAUUCGUUCAUACAUCAUGUCAAAAGCAUAUUAAGCAUGUUAUGAACCUUAGAAUCGAUUUCCAUUAAGAAAAU